rnacentral:rRNA from 1 species
AACGUAGGCGGUCCGGUAAGUCGGAUGUGAAAGCCCUCGGCUUAACCGAGGAAGUGCAUUCGAAACUGUCGGACUUGAGUAUGAAAGAGGGUCGCGGAAUUCCCGGUGUAGAGGUGAAAUUCGUAGAUAUCGGGAGGAACACCAGUGGCGAAGGCGGCGACCUGGUUCAAUACUGACGCUGAGGUUCGAAAGCGUGGGGAGCAAACA